UUUUAAUAUAUCUAGUUUUUUAAGAAAUAAAUUUAAUUUAGAUGUUUUUUUUAAUUAAUUUAAAUUUUAAAAAUUAUUAUAAGAAAUCAUUAAUAUUUUAAGGGAUGAGCUUUAAAAUAAAAUUUUAUAAAUAACUGUUAUUAAGUAAUAAUUGUAAGCUUAGAAUUAGCUAUCAAUAGAAAUUAUGUUUUAAUUUAUUUUUUAUUUAAUAUUAUUUAUUAUUUAUUUUAAAUUUUUUAUUAAAAUAUAAAUUUUAAUUUUAUAAAUUUAUUAAUAAUGAUAAAAUUAGUAAAUAUUUAUAAUUAUAUAAAUAAAUCUUUAAUUGAUUGGUUUUUAUAAUUAAUUCGGCAAAUUUUGUGCUCACCUGUUUAUCAAAAACAUGUCUUUUUGGUUAUUUAAUAUAAAGUCUGACCUGCCCACUGAAUUUAUUUUGAAGGGCCGCAGUAUUUUGACUGUGCAAAGGUAGCAUAAUCAUUAGUCUUUUAAUUGAAGGCUGGUAUGAAUGGUUGGAUGAGGUACAAGCUGUGUCAUAAAAAUUAGUUUUUGAAUUUACCUUUUUAGUCAAAAGGCUAAAAUAGUAUUAAAAGACGAGAAGACCCUAUAGAGCUUUAUAUAAUUUUUAUUUAAAUUAUUAAGAUUUCUUAAAUUUAAUUAUUUCAUUAUAUUUUGUUGGGGUGACAAUAAAAUUUAUAAAACUUUUAUUUUUAUUUACCAUUAAUAUAUGUUUAUAUGAUCCAGUUUUAUUGAUUAUAAAUUUAAGUUACCUUAGGGAUAACAGCGUAAUUUUUUUUGAGAGUUCUUAUCGACAAAAAAGAUUGCGACCUCGAUGUUGGAUUAAGAGUAAUUUUGGGUGUAGAAGUUCAAAGUUUAAGUCUGUUCGACUUUUAAAUUCUUACAU
rnacentral:rRNA from 1 species